CAUGGAAGUUGGUCCGGGUACA
rnacentral:miRNA from 14 species